GACGUAGGGGGCGAGCGUUGUCCGGAUUCAUUGGGCGUAAAGCGCGCGUAGGCGGCUGCGCAAGUCGGUUGUGAAAUUCCGGGGCUCAACCCCGGAACUGCGUCCGAUACUGCGUGGCUAGAGGUAGGUAGGGGAGAUCGGAAUUCCUGGUGUAGCGGUGAAAUGCGCAGAUAUCAGGAGGAAUACCGGUGGCGAAGGCGGCAUCCUGGACCGGCAUUGACGCUGAUGAGCGAAAGCUAGGGGAGCAAACGGG
rnacentral:rRNA from 1 species